UUUCCUUAUGUGGCCUUUGUUCAGUUCCUUUCCUUGCUCAUUUCGUUUUCAGCUCAGAUGAUGUGUUUGCUCCAUCUCUCGCUCCGCUUAUCAUCAUCAUCAACAUCAUGAAAGUGACAGUGAUUGGACUUGGUUUCGUGAAAGCUGAAGGUGUGGUUAACUCCAUGACUAGGCAUGGAGACCGCAGAGAACUUCUCAAGGGCCCGUUGUAUUAUGCCUGUGCUAUAACUCUGACAACAAUAGUUUUCUGGAGGACAUCUCCCAUCUCAAUCGCGGUGAUCUGCAAUUUGUGUGCCGAAGAUGGU